UGUGGUGUAGUGUAGUGGUUUGAGUGAUAGACUAGGACUCUGGCAGAUUAGGGUUCAAAUCCCUGCUCAGCCA